GGGUUGUGAGGUUAAGCGACUAAGCGUACACGGUGGAUGCCCUGGCAGUCAGAGGCGAUGAAGGACGUGCUAAUCUGCGAUAAGCGUCGGUGAGGUGAUAUGAACCGUUAUAACCGGCGAUUUCCGAAUGGGGAAACCCAGUGUGUUUCGACACACUAUCAUUAACUGAAUCCAUAGGUUAAUGAGGCGAACCGGGGGAACUGAAACAUCUAAGUACCCCGAGGAAAAGAAAUCAACCGAGAUUCCCCCAGUAGCGGCGAGCGAACGGGGAGGAGCCCAGAGCCUGAAUCAGUGUGUGUGUUAGUGGAAGCGUCUGGAAAGGCGCGCGAUACAGGGUGACAGCCCCGUACACAAAAAUGCACAUAUUGUGAGCUCGAUGAGUAGGGCGGGACACGUGGUAUCCUGUCUGAAUAUGGGGGGACCAUCCUCCAAGGCUAAAUACUCCUGACUGACCGAUAGUGAACCAGUACCGUGAGGGAAAGGCGAAAAGAACCCCGGCGAGGGGAGUGAAAAAGAACCUGAAACCGUGUACGUACAAGCAGUGGGAGCCUCUUUAUGGGGUGACUGCGUACCUUUUGUAUAAUGGGUCAGCGACUUAUAUUCUGUAGCAAGGUUAACCGAAUAGGGGAGCCGAAGGGAAACCGAGUCUUAACUGGGCGUUAAGUUGCAGGGUAUAGACCCGAAACCCGGUGAUCUAGCCAUGGGCAGGUUGAAGGUUGGGUAACACUAACUGGAGGACCGAACCGACUAAUGUUGAAAAAUUAGCGGAUGACUUGUGGCUGGGGGUGAAAGGCCAAUCAAACCGGGAGAUAGCUGGUUCUCCCCGAAAGCUAUUUAGGUAGCGCCUCGUGAAUUCAUCUCCGGGGGUAGAGCACUGUUUCGGCAAGGGGGUCAUCCCGACUUACCAACCCGAUGCAAACUGCGAAUACCGGAGAAUGUUAUCACGGGAGACACACGGCGGGUGCUAACGUCCGUCGUGAAGAGGGAAACAACCCAGACCGCCAGCUAAGGUCCCAAAGUCAUGGUUAAGUGGGAAACGAUGUGGGAAGGCCCAGACAGCCAGGAUGUUGGCUUAGAAGCAGCCAUCAUUUAAAGAAAGCGUAAUAGCUCACUGGUCGAGUCGGCCUGCGCGGAAGAUGUAACGGGGCUAAACCAUGCACCGAAGCUGCGGCAGCGACACUAUGUGUUGUUGGGUAGGGGAGCGUUCUGUAAGCCUGUGAAGGUGGCCUGUGAGGGUUGCUGGAGGUAUCAGAAGUGCGAAUGCUGACAUAAGUAACGAUAAAGCGGGUGAAAAGCCCGCUCGCCGGAAGACCAAGGGUUCCUGUCCAACGUUAAUCGGGGCAGGGUGAGUCGACCCCUAAGGCGAGGCCGAAAGGCGUAGUCGAUGGGAAACAGGUUAAUAUUCCUGUACUUGGUGUUACUGCGAAGGGGGGACGGAGAAGGCUAUGUUGGCCGGGCGACGGUUGUCCCGGUUUAAGCGUGUAGGCUGGUUUUCCAGGCAAAUCCGGAAAACCAAGGCUGAGGCGUGAUGACGAGGCACUACGGUGCUGAAGCGACAAAUGCCCUGCUUCCAGGAAAAGCCUCUAAGCAUCAGGUAACAUCAAAUCGUACCCCAAACCGACACAGGUGGUCAGGUAGAGAAUACCAAGGCGCUUGAGAGAACUCGGGUGAAGGAACUAGGCAAAAUGGUGCCGUAACUUCGGGAGAAGGCACGCUGAUAUGUAGGUGAAGCGACUUGCUCGUGGAGCUGAAAUCAGUCGAAGAUACCAGCUGGCUGCAACUGUUUAUUAAAAACACAGCACUGUGCAAACACGAAAGUGGACGUAUACGGUGUGACGCCUGCCCGGUGCCGGAAGGUUAAUUGAUGGGGUUAGCGGUAACGCGAAGCUCUUGAUCGAAGCCCCGGUAAACGGCGGCCGUAACUAUAACGGUCCUAAGGUAGCGAAAUUCCUUGUCGGGUAAGUUCCGACCUGCACGAAUGGCGUAAUGAUGGCCAGGCUGUCUCCACCCGAGACUCAGUGAAAUUGAACUCGCUGUGAAGAUGCAGUGUACCCGCGGCAAGACGGAAAGACCCCGUGAACCUUUACUAUAGCUUGACACUGAACAUUGAGCCUUGAUGUGUAGGAUAGGUGGGAGGCUUUGAAGUGUGGACGCCAGUCUGCAUGGAGCCGACCUUGAAAUACCACCCUUUAAUGUUUGAUGUUCUAACGUUGGCCCGUAAUCCGGGUUGCGGACAGUGUCUGGUGGGUAGUUUGACUGGGGCGGUCUCCUCCUAAAGAGUAACGGAGGAGCACGAAGGUUGGCUAAUCCUGGUCGGACAUCAGGAGGUUAGUGCAAUGGCAUAAGCCAGCUUGAUUGCGAGCGUGACGGCGCGAGCAGGUGCGAAAGCAGGUCAUAGUGAUCCGGUGGUUCUGAAUGGAAGGGCCAUCGCUCAACGGAUAAAAGGUACUCCGGGGAUAACAGGCUGAUACCGCCCAAGAGUUCAUAUCGACGGCGGUGUUUGGCACCUCGAUGUCGGCUCAUCACAUCCUGGGGCUGAAGUAGGUCCCAAGGGUAUGGCUGUUCGCCAUUUAAAGUGGUACGCGAGCUGGGUUUAGAACGUCGUGAGACAGUUCGGUCCCUAUCUGCCGUGGGCGCUGGAGAACUGAGGGGGGCUGCUCCUAGUACGAGAGGACCGGAGUGGACGCAUCACUGGUGUUCGGGUUGUCAUGCCAAUGGCACUGCCCGGUAGCUAAAUGCGGAAGAGAUAAGUGCUGAAAGCAUCUAAGCACGAAACUUGCCCCGAGAUGAGUUCUCCCUGAGACUUAGAGUCUCCUGAAGGAACGUUGAAGACGACGACGUUGAUAGGCCGGGUGUGUAAGCGCAGCGAUGCGUUGAGCUAACCGGUACUAAUGAACCGUGAGGCUUAACCUUACAACGCCGAAG
rnacentral:rRNA from 1 species